UACGUAGGUGGCAAGCGUUGUCCGGAUUUACUGGGUGUAAAGGGCGUGUAGCCGGGCUUACAAGUCAGAUGUGAAAUCCGGGGGCUCAACCCCCGAACUGCAUUUGAAACUGUAGGUCUUGAGUAUCGGAGAGGCAGGCGGAAUUCCUAGUGUAGCGGUGAAAUGCGUAGAUAUUAGGAGGAACACCAGUGGCGAAGGCGGCCUUCUGGACGACAACUGACGGUGAGGCGCGAAAGCGUGGGGAGCAAACAGG
rnacentral:rRNA from 1 species